UCUUUAUUGGCUCAGAGGUUAAAGCGUCUGCCUCCAAUGAGGGAGACCCAGGUUCGAUCCCUGGGUUGGGAA
rnacentral:tRNA from 1 species